rnacentral:rRNA from 1 species
UACCAGCACCCCGAGUGGUUGGGACGAUUAUUGGGCCUAAAGCAUCCGUAGCCGGUCCUACAAGUCUUCCGUUAAAUCCACCUGCUUAACAGAUGGGCUGCGGAAGAUACUAUAGGGCUAGGAGGCGGGAGAGGCAAGCGGUACUCAGUGGGUAGGGGUAAAAUCCGUUGAUCCAUUGAAGACCACCAGUGGCGAAGGCGGCUUGCCAGAACGCGCUCGACGGUGAGGGAUGAAAGCUGGGGGAGCAAACCGG